rnacentral:rRNA from 1 species
GGUUAAGUGACUAAGCGUACACGGUGGAUGCCUUGGCAGUCAGAGGCGAUGAAAGACGUAGUAACUUGCGAUAAGCCCAGAUUAGGUAGUAACAACCAUUUGAGUCUGGGAUUUCUGAAUGGGGAAACCCACUUACAUAAGUAAGUAUCAUUAACUGAAUACAUAGGUUAAUGAGGCGAACCGGGGAACUGAAACAUCUAAGUACCCCGAGGAAAAGAAAUCAACCGAGAUUCCGAAAGUAGCGGCGAGCGAAAUUGGACUAGCCCUUAAGCUUUACACGCGUUAGACGAACGGUCUGGAAAGUCCGACGAUACAGGGUGAUAGUCCCGUAGUUGACGACGUGUGUUCAGUGAAAUCGAGUAGGGCGGGACACGUGAUAUCCUGUCUGAAUAUGGGGGACCAUCCUCCAAGGCUAAAUACUACUGACUGACCGAUAGUGAACCAGUACCGUGAGGGAAAGGCGAAAAGAACCCCUGUGAGGGGAGUGAAAUAGAACCUGAAACCGUGUACGUACAAGCAGUAGGAGCACCUUCGUGGUGUGACUGCGUACCUUUGUAUAAUGGGUCAGCGACUUAUAUUCAGUGGCAAGGUUAACCAUCUAGGGGAGCCGUAGGGAAACCGAGUCUUAACUGGGCGUUCAGUCUCUGGAUAUAGACCCGAAACCAGGUGAUCUAGCCAUGGGCAGGUUGAAGGUUGAGUAACAUCAACUGGAGGACCGAACCGACUAAUGUUGAAAAAUUAGCGGAUGACUUGUGGCUAGGGGUGAAAGGCCAAUCAAACCUGGAGAUAGCUGGUUCUCCCCGAAAGCUAUUUAGGUAGCGCCUCGGACGAAUACUACUGGGGGUAGAGCACUGUUAAGGCUAGGGGGUCAUCCCGACUUACCAACCCUUUGCAAACUCCGAAUACCAGUAAGUACUAUCCGGGAGACACACGGCGGGUGCUAACGUCCGUCGUGGAGAGGGAAACAACCCAGACCGCCAGCUAAGGUCCCAAAUUACUACUAAGUGGGAAACGAUGUGGGAAGGCUCAGACAGCCAGGAUGUUGGCUUAGAAGCAGCCAUCAUUUAAAGAAAGCGUAAUAGCUCACUGGUCGAGUCGGCCUGCGCGGAAGAUGUAACGGGGCUAAGUAGUAAACCGAAGCUGCGGCAAUGUGCUUUUGCACAUUGGGUAGGGGAGCGUUCUGUAAGCGGUUGAAGGUGUGUGGUAACGCAUGCUGGACGUAUCAGAAGUGCGAAUGCUGACAUGAGUAACGAUAAAGGGGUGAAAAACCUCCUCGCCGGAAGACCAAGGGUUCCUGUCCAACGUUAAUCGGGGCAGGGUAAGUCGACCCCUAAGGCGAGGCCGAAAGGCGUAGUCGAUGGGAAACGGGUUAAUAUUCCCGUACUUCUUACAAUUGCGAUGGGGGGACGGAGAAGGCUAGGUGGGCCUGGCGACGGUUGUCCAGGUUCAAGUGCGUAGGCUUAAGAGUUAGGUAAAUCCGGCUCUUUUUAAGGCUGAGACACGACGUCGAGCACCUACGGGUGUGAAGUCAUUGAUGCCAUGCUUCCAGGAAAAGCCUCUAAGCUUCAGAUUGUAAGGAAUCGUACCCCAAACCGACACAGGUGGUCGGGUAGAGAAUACCAAGGCGCUUGAGAGAACUCGGGUGAAGGAACUAGGCAAAAUGGUACCGUAACUUCGGGAGAAGGUACGCUCUUGAUGGUGAAGUCCCUCGCGGAUGGAGCUGACGAGAGUCGCAGAUACCAGGUGGCUGCAACUGUUUAUUAAAAACACAGCACUGUGCAAAAUCGUAAGAUGACGUAUACGGUGUGACGCCUGCCCGGUGCCGGAAGGUUAAUUGAUGGGGUUAGACUUCGGUCGAAGCUCUUGAUCGAAGCCCCGGUAAACGGCGGCCGUAACUAUAACGGUCCUAAGGUAGCGAAAUUCCUUGUCGGGUAAGUUCCGACCUGCACGAAUGGCGUAAUGAUGGCCACGCUGUCUCCACCCGAGACUCAGUGAAAUUGAAAUCGCUGUGAAGAUGCAGUGUACCCGCGGCUAGACGGAAAGACCCCGUGAACCUUUACUACAGCUUGGCACUGAACAUUGACCCUACAUGUGUAGGAUAGGUGGGAGGCUUUGAAGCACGUACGCCAGUAUGUGUGGAGCCGUCCUUGAAAUACCACCCUUGUAGUGUUGAUGUUCUAACGUCGACCCCUAAUCGGGGUUGCGGACAGUGCCUGGUGGGUAGUUUGACUGGGGCGGUCUCCUCCCAAAGAGUAACGGAGGAGCACGAAGGUGGGCUAAUCACGGUUGGACAUCGUGAGGUUAGUGCAAUGGCAUAAGCCCGCUUGACUGCGAGAAUGACAAUUCGAGCAGGUGCGAAAGCAGGUCAUAGUGAUCCGGUGGUUCUGAAUGGAAGGGCCAUCGCUCAACGGAUAAAAGGUACUCCGGGGAUAACAGGCUGAUACCGCCCAAGAGUUCAUAUCGACGGCGGUGUUUGGCACCUCGAUGUCGGCUCAUCACAUCCUGGGGCUGAAGUCGGUCCCAAGGGUAUGGCUGUUCGCCAUUUAAAGUGGUACGCGAGCUGGGUUUAGAACGUCGUGAGACAGUUCGGUCCCUAUCUGCCGUGGGCGUUGGAAGAUUGAAGGGGCUGCUCCUAGUACGAGAGGACCGGAGUGGACGAACCUCUGGUGUUCGGGUUGUGUCGCCAGACGCAUUGCCCGGUAGCUAAGUUCGGAAUCGAUAACCGCUGAAAGCAUCUAAGCGGGAAGCGAGCCCUGAGAUGAGUCUUCCCUGAUACUUUAAGUAUCCUAAAGGGUUGUCGGAGACUACGACGUUGAUAGGUCAGGUGUGUAAGUGCUGUGAGGCAUUGAGCUAACUGAUACUAAUUGCCCGUGAGGCUUAACCAU